rnacentral:rRNA from 1 species
GACGAACGCUGGCGGCGUGCCUAAUACAUGCAAGUAGAACGCUGAAGCGAGGAGCUUGCUCUUCUUGGAUGAGUUGCGAACGGGUGAGUAACGCGUAGGUAACCUGCCUUGUAGCGGGGGAUAACUAUUGGAAACGAUAGCUAAUACCGCAUAACAAUGGAUGACACAUGUCAUUUAUUUGAAAGGGGCAAUUGUUCCACUACAAGAUGGACCUGCGUUGUAUUAGCUAGUAGGUGAGGUAAUGGCUCACCUAGGCGACGAUACAUAGCCGACCUGAGAGGGUGCUCGGCCACACUGGGACUGAGACACGGCCCAGACUCCUACGGGAGGCAGCAGUAGGGAAUCUUCGGCAAUGGGGGCAACCCUGACCGAGCAACGCCGCGUGAGUGAAGAAGGUUUUCGGAUCGUAAAGCUCUGUUGUAAGUCAAGAACGGGUGUGAGAGUGGAAAGUUCACACUGUGACGGUAGCUUACCAGAAAGGGACGGCUAACUACGUG